GAUAGAAUCGAAUAGAAAUAGAGAAAAUUAUUAAUCUCACAAGCAGAAAUUCAGCCAAUAUUGAGCUAUUCCAGUCAGUUUGAGCCUCUGGUCAGGAUGCAACCCAACUGUUGAGGUAUUGCAGGUAUAUUUACAUGAAUGGAAACCUCACAAGAGAUUCUGGACACAAGAGAGGUCAUUCUUUUGGUUCACCUGAGGACCUCCUCAUUAUUAUUCAGGAGUUAGAAGAAGUGUCCAGGAUGAGAAGGUCUAUACCUGUUUGUAUUUAAGUCACUAAACAGUAUCAUAAAAAGGAAGAAUUGUUUGUAAUAUGAAAUACAGCAGGCUACAUCUGUAAAAAAACAAAAUAGUCUUCAACAAAAUACUUUGUUUUUCAGUCAAGAUAAUGACCAAUCCCCACAGUUCACUGUUUGAUUAGGAAUAAGAAAAUGUGAAGCAAAAAGAACACAGAAGAAAAAAGGCUUUUCCAGCUGGAAAACAAGAAGGCACUGCUCUCUUCUGCCAAAUGCCAGACACACAGACAGGCAGGUCGACAGUUAUGAAGACAGAUGAAUGAUGCGACGCCUUCAGCACUGAGGGAAAUGAGAUCUGAUGUUGACAGCUAGAUGGACAGACCCCUGGUCUGGCAUUCAGAUGUUUUCAUACAUCUGCUCUGCAUGAUCGCUGAACGCACAGGCACCGUGCAGGUGCUGGAACUUGGCCUUCUCUCGCUAAUUCAGCCGCUUUCUGGGAACAACGGUGCAAGUUGCAUGAUGUUUAGCAUAAUGUGUGCGGAGCAGCGUGCUGCCGAGAUAAACGCUUCACAAGCAAUAAUCUUUCUAAAGACCUGAAGUCUCCAGUGUCAGCCUCCAUGUUCAAAAUCUGCAACGUGUCGGCCUGCUUCAUAAUUCAUGACAUUCAGCCAGCAUUUAUCAAAAGAGUGCUAACGUGCUAAGAGAGAUUACAACACAUAUUAAUCUGUUUUCUUGGCUGUCACACUGCUCUCCUUCCUCCCCUCGUGCACUUUGCAUUUAUUCCACUCGAUGGCUACAUCCAUACUCUUCACCGUGAAAGGAUUGCAGGUUGGUGUUUGUGCCCUGCGGGGUUGAAAAAUUACAAAUAGAUAUACCCUUUAUAAACAAAGCCCAGUCUGUCAUGGGAGAGCAGUCCUGUGCAGCAAUCAGCCUCAGGACGCCAUUGCAUUGUCUCACAGGGGGAUGGAGGGGCCGGUAGGUGGCAGUCGUGUCCCAUUUGCAAGGUCCACAUGGGAGAGAGCAUCUUCUACAUCCUCAUUCUAAAUCCCACUCCUUUUCCCCUGCUGUGGCUUUUAUUCCCACAUAAAUUGGAUCUCCACACAAAUAAAAACGAGGGUUUGUUUUCUCUUAUUACAACUGACCAAUAAAUGAAGGGAGAAAAGAGAGAAAAAGGCAUCAUGUAUACCUGGGGACCUUCACUCUCUCCGCACGGGGGAGAAACGCAGAAGCUGUGGAAGUUCAGAACAGCAUGACGUUUGGAAGGGGGAGACGAUAUUUCUGCUGUCCUGACGGCAUGUCUGACUGACGACCGUCAAUCCCCCAACAGUCACUGGCGGAGUGGUCUCAUAUUGAGAGCACAGCUUGUUAGUGGGAGGUAACCUACACGAUUCCAUCUCCUGAACUUAAUUCAAUGUCUGUUCCAGUCCGCGCCGAGAACCUGGCGUGGAGGUAAAACCACAAAAGCGCACGGUGGCCCUUUGAAGCGCCCAGGCGGACGCAGGGAAACGCGCUCAUUUGCGACCACAGCCGGAAAAUCCUCCGCAGUCCAAAGAAGAGAAAAGGACUGAGGCGUCUGGCACCUUGUGGAUAAAGGGCUGGAGGGGGGAAAUGUUUUAGCAGAUCAUGGCGCGGCGCGAAAAGGAACAGGUACAAUAGGCGCAGAAGUCAUGAGCUCCAACUCCCCAUCAGACAGACCAGGUUUGUUGCAGGGGAUGUGUGUACAGUGAGGGCUCCUUCACACUGACAGGAGCCCCUCGAUGAUUUAUAGGGGGGAAACCCAUGGGAUCCUGUCUUUCGGCGGUCCAUCCCGGUUUGACGCAUUUACGUCUUGGAUGUGGAGCGGAACAUGAAGCGGACGAUCACGUUUGAUCGCGUAAACUUUAUCACAUGUGCUUAGGCUUGGGCUGCCGCGCGACUGCUGUCAUCGACAGGGAGACGUGAGCAUCUUGAAAUUCUGCAAUGGAUUGCGCCACGAGGUUCAACCCGGCUGGAUGACAGAGACGGAGCGGAAAAGGGACUUGAUGAAAACUUAAGACGUAAGCGAGGGGACGUUAAAGCAACCACACCUCUGCUACUCAGCGUCUGGAUAAUAGUGUGCCUAACUGACGAGCUUCUCGGGAUCUAAGCCUGCCUGGACACUGACCACAAGAGCUUCUGCGCCCACUUUCAACUUGGUCGGAAAACGCGCGGAGGGAGCGCUACUUUCCAACGACCUGACUAACCACCAGGAGAAAAUAUGUGACCACACCAGGCAUCGUCUUCAAUCAGGAGAUUAGUUUCAACAAUGGCACUUGUGGGUACCUCCGUGCUCUGCUCGUCCCAAAAGAAGAGGAAAUGUCCGCUGCAUUAUGGGUUACCGUCGCUGUGAGAGUUAAAAUCACGCCAUCUGGACUAAUGUAUGGAUUAUACAUCAUUUUGAAAGUGGGAACGCAGUGAGUCUGGCAAGAAAGUCACCACGGAUUCUGUAAAAUCGUCUAAAAAUUGGAGAUUUUUUUUUUCCUUCUCGCCCCAAUGCAUUUUUUUUCCUUUUUCAUUUUGGGAGGGGGCAGUGGAAGAGGGACAGUUCGCAAUCUAAAGCAGAGAUUCACCAGAGCUGGCGUCUGAACGAAGUCGCCAUGAUAGAAUGGAAGCUAUGAGGAGGAUCACAACCCUUUGGAGCGGUUACUGAACUGCCAGGUAAGAAAAAAAUGGAAAAGUGUGAAGGCUAAAAAAGACUUCGACCUAAGUCGCCUAAGACGGAGGGCUAAAAGAAAUCGAUACUUUUGUGUGUUUUUAACCAAUUUUCCAACUUGAUUAUGUUACAAAAGCUGACAGAUGUUGAAAAGCUAAACAAGGGCCACUUCUGCAGGAGUAAACUGUCCUCAUCAUUCCAGCAAACUACUGCUAGAACAGGUCUUAAACACAGCACAGUCAAACUGUAACUAAUUCUGACAUAUUGAAAACUGUAAAUCACUUUGUGUUUCCCUGCCUUCUCCACUGCGUGUGCUGGGAUUAUUCCCCAGCCUCCUGUGUUCAUGAAAAGGAUUUAUUGAAGGAAGUAAAUGAGCGACUGAAUGGAUCAGCUGCACUAAACCCCUGCAUAUUUACUUUUUUUUUAUUAUUAUUAUUUUCUGUUUCGACCAGUAGGUUAAAAAACCUACUUAGUACAUCUUUUAAGAUCAUUUAUUAACAUUAAAAUGGCAAUCAAAGGAAAACAGAAACCGCAUCAACUUCAUUCUUAAAAAAAAAAAA